rnacentral:rRNA from 1 species
UACGUAGGCAGCGAGCGUUGUUCGGAGUUACUGGGCGUAAAGGGUGUGUAGGCGGUUUUCUAAGUUUGGUGUGAAUACUCCCGGCUCAACCGGGAGGUGCGCCGAAAACUGGGAGACUAGAGUGCGGAUGGAGAGGUAGAAUUCCUGGUGUAGCGGUGAAAUGCGUAGAUAUCAGGAGGAAUACCGGUGGUGUCAGACGGCUCUCUGGACCGCCACU